CAUUGUGGUUUAAUUCGAAGCAACGCGAAGAACCUUACCAGGUCUUGACAUCCUUUUGAAUGGUCUAGAGAUAGAUCAGGCCUUCGGGACAGAAGAGACAGGUGGUGCAUGGUUGUCGUCAGCUCGUGUCGUGAGAUGUUGGGUUAAGUCCCGCAACGAGCGCAACCCUCGACCUUAGUUGCCAGCAUUCAGUUGGGCACUCUAAGGUGACUGCCGGCUAAAAGUCGGAGGAAGGUAGGGAUGACGUCAAAUCAUCAUGCCCCUUAUGACCUGGGCUACACACGUGCUACAAUGGGCGGUACAAAGGGUCGCGAACCCGCGAGGGGGAGCCAAUCCCAAAAAGCCGCUCUCAGUUCGGAUUGCAGGCUGCAACUCGCCUGCAUGAAGCCGGAAUCGCUAGUAAUCGCGGAUCAGCAUGCCGCGGUGAAUACGUUCCCGGGCCUU
rnacentral:rRNA from 1 species